AAUGGAUGCGGAGAGGACCAACUCAGACAUUUGAGAAACAUCCUUGUAACGUUGGGAGUGAAAGGGGUGGCAUCUUCUGCCACGUGCUGGGAGAAACAGCCAAGGCUGGUGCGGCGGAAGAACAAAAACAAAUCAGGUAUCUGAACGCUGGACCCAAAUGGGUGCCAAAAGAAGGGAGGGGCGUCUGGAGGAGAACGGACACGUGUGCGUGUGUGGUGAGCCCCUCCCGUGUCCCCAACAGCAGUAAUCAGCUAACGCUACCAACCAACCAAACAACAGUCACUGAAGCCUCCUUCCCUGCCAGCAGUUUUAUCUGUUCUCUUUUAUUAUGUUGAUCUCUUUUCAAUCUCUAAAACAUUAAAUAAAUUACUUGUUAAAAAGAAAAAUC